GAUGAACGCUAGCGGCAGGCCUAACACAUGCAAGUCGAGGGGUAGAGGAAGCUUGCUUCCUUGAGACCGGCGCACGGGUGCGUAACGCGUAUGCAAUCUACCUUUUACAGAGGGAUAGCCCAGAGAAAUUUGGAUUAAUACCUCAUAGUAUCUUUGCCUGGCAUCGGGUGAUUAUUAAAGUUCCAACGGUAAAAGAUGAGCAUGCGUCCUAUUAGCUAGAUGGUAAGGUAACGGCUUACCAUGGCAACGAUAGGUGGGGGUCCUGAGAGGGAGAUCCCCCACACUGGUACUGAGAAACUGACCAGACUCCUACGGGAGGCAGCAGUGAGGAAUAGUGGACAAUGGGCGCAAGCCUGAUCCAGCCAUGCCGCGUGCAGGAAGACGGUCCUAUGGAUUGUAAACUGCUUUUGUACGGGAAGAAACACUCCUACGUGUAGGAGCUUGACGGUACCGUAAGAAUAAGGAUCGGCUAACUCCGUGCCAGCCGCCGCAGUAACAC
rnacentral:rRNA from 1 species